rnacentral:rRNA from 1 species
AUGAUUAGCGCAAAUAUCUUAGCAUGGAAUGUUCGAGGGCUUAACAACCCUGCCCGUCGUGGGGUGGUCAGAAAUGUUGUACUGUUGCAUAGCCCGACAAUUAUCUGCCUGCAAGAGUCGAAGCUAGCAGUGGUUGACAGUAUGAUCAUUAGUCAAGUCUGUGGUCCAAAGUACACCGAGUUCUUAUUCGAGCCUGCUUUGGGUACUAGAGGUGGUUUAAUUGUGGCUUGGGACCCCGAUGUGGUUGAUAUAAACCUCCUUGCUCAGCAGAAAUCUUUCAUUGCCGUCGAUUGCUGUUGGAGGCUGACAGAUACUAAGUUCAGAUUAGCCACAGUCUAUGGACCUCAGUCUGAUGCUGACACGCUAAAUUUCUUAGAUGAUUUGAGACCAUUGUGUCAUUCCAAUCUUCCUUGCAUUUUCAUUGGUGACUUCAAUCUUAUUGCUGAUGCUUCGGACAAGAACAACAUGAAUAUAAAUCGAAGAAUGAUGGCAGCUUUUAGGAGAUUUAUUAAUGAGCUGGAGCUUAGAGACAUGUACCUCCAUGGCAGAAAAUAUACUUGGACCAACGAACAGCAAAUUGUAACAAAAGUGAAGUUGGACAGGGUGCUCUAUAAUGAUCCAUGGAUGACAGCACACCCUUGUUGUCUACUUGUUGCCCUUGCCACAGACAUGUCUGAUCACUGCCCAUUGCUGCUCUCCACUGAUGUUUCCUUCAAGCCUCCAAGACACUUCAGAUUUGACAAUUAUUGGGUAAAGUUCGAGGGGUUCAAUCAGCUUGUACUUGACUGUUGGGCACAACCAACCAAUUUCUCGGACCCGUAUCUACGACUGCACUGCAAGCUCACAAGAAUGGCCAGAGCCUUAAGAAAGUGGAGCACUGCUCACAUCGGAGACCUCAAGCUCCGUGCUGCAAUUUCUAGUGAGCUUAUUGGACAGUUGGACGCCGCCCUAGAUGAAAGGGAUCUAUCUGACGGUGAGAGACGGUUAAGGGCAUCCCUGAAGAUGAAUCUGCUUGGUAUUGCAGCUGUUCAGCGUGCUCACAGCAGACAACGCUCUAGAAUUGAUUGGUUGAGAGAUGGAGAUGCCAACACUUCCUUCUUCCAAGCAAAAGCUUCGGCAAGACGACAAAAGAAUUUUGUGCUAAAUUUGCUGCACAAUGGGGCAGUUGUCACUAGCCAAGAAGAGAAAUUGCACGCUGUUUGGGAGCAUUUCUCCUCG